rnacentral:rRNA from 1 species
GACGAACGCUGGCGGCGUGCCUAAUACAUGCAAGUCGAACGCAGUGGGGACGGGUGAGUAACACGUUGGUAACCUCCCAUCAGAGGGGAUAACACUUGGAAACAGGUGCUAAACCGAUACUGAUGGAUGGACCAGCGGUGCAUUAGCUAGUUGGGGAGGUAACGGCUCACCAAGGCCACGAUGCAUAGCCGGCCUGAGAGGGGGAUCGGCAACACUGGGACUGAGACACGGCCCAGACUCCUACGGGAGGCAGCAGUAGGGAACCUUCGGCAAUGGACGAAAGUCUGACCGAGCACCGCCGCGUGAGUGAAGCAGGUUUUCGGUUCGUAAACCUCUGUUGUUAGAGAGUCGGUAUCUAACCAGAAAGCCACGGCUAACUACGUGCCAGCAGCCGCGGUAAUAC